AUGAGUUCUCCCUGAGACUUAGAGUCUCCUGAAGGAACGUUGAAGACGACGACGUUGAUAGGCCGGGUGUGUAAGCGCAGCGAUGCGUUGAGCUAACCGGUACUAAUGAACCGUGAGGCUUAACCUUACAACGCCAAAG
rnacentral:rRNA from 2 species